rnacentral:rRNA from 1 species
UACAGAGGUCCCAAGCGUUGUUCGGAUUUACUGGGCGUAAAGGGUGCGUAGGCGGUCGGGUAAGUCUGGUGUGAAAUCUUCGAGCUUAACUCGGAAACUGCAUUGGAUACUAUUCGGCUGGAGAGUUGGAGGGGGGACUGGAAUACUUGGUGUAGCAGUGAAAUGCGUAGAUAUCAAGUGGAACACCAGUGGCGAAGGCGAGUCCCUGGACAACUUCUGACGCUGAGGCACGAAAGCUAGGGGAGCAAACAGG